CGAGCGGCAGAGCGGGUAGCCUGGCUUCAGGGCCGGCGGUGCCUUGCACGGCUGAUGUGUAGUUGCACGCUGUCGCUGCAGGGCGAGAUGCUGUAACCCCGGGAGAGCCCGUCGCGGGAGCGCAAGGAGUUGGACGGACUCUGGAGCUUCCGCGCCGACUUCUCCGACGACCGGCGCGGGUGCUUCCAGGAGCAGUGGUAGCGGCUGCUGCUGCGGCCGGAGCGCAGUGGCGCAAUACUAACUUGGCCCUCGAGAAGGCGGCGGCGUCGGUGGCGGCGGCCCGGGUCAGCCCAGCCCGGCCACAGGGAAGUCAGCGGCGGCGACGGCGGCCCCAGCCCGGCCGGAGGGAAGUCGGCUUAAGCGGCGGCGGCGGCGCGAUCAGAGCGAGUUUCUUUGGAGAAGCCGUGGUGGCUUCAAUGUGAUGGUGGAGGACGAGACAGGUCUCUGCGGCUUUUCUGGCUUUGCCUGCUCAGCUGCUCCAUGCUACGAGAAGGAAGAGCUAUCUGCUGCAUGCUGGAGGCUGGAGCCUGUGGCACCAUGGCUCGCCUCGCUGCAGUUGGUGGCAGCGAUGGAGACUGCAGAACGCCAGAGAGGAUGCGGCCCCGGGAUGCUGCAGGAGACAGGAGGCACAAGCUGCAGCCAGGAGCAGAUCUCUGCCCCUUUGUCCGAAGAGCCAAAAAUGACCAAGACCUUGAGGCUGAACUUUGCUGACAAACUAGCAUCAGCCCAGAACAUUACAAUAAAGAUCCAGUUUAUGUGUGGAGAAGAUGCUGUCAACGCGAUGCCGGUCAUCUUUGGAAAGUCCAGUGGGCCUGAAUUUCUGCAGGAAGUAUACGCAGCCAUUACAUACCAUAAUAAGUCUCCUGACUUUUAUGAAGAAGUGAAAAUUAAGCUCCCUGCUCAGCUCACAGUAAAUCACUACCUCCUGUUCACCUUCUACCAUAUCAGCUGUCAGCAGAAGCAAGGAGGCUCCGUGGAAACUCUCCUGGGAUAUUCGUGGCUGCCAAUUCUUUUAAAUGAACGUCUUCAAACUGGAUCGUACUGUCUCCCAGUUGCCUUGGAAAAAUUGCCACCCAACUACAUGCGUUCUGCUGAGGACAACCACCUGGAGAAAUUCUUCACCCUCUGCCACUCCCUGGAGAGCCAGGUGACCUUCCCCAUCCGCGUGCUUGAUCAGAAGAUCAGUGAGACGGCACUGGAGCACGAGCUGAAGCUCAGCAUCAUCUGCCUGAACUCCUCCCGCCUGGAGCCGCUCGUGCUCUUCCUGCACCUGGUGCUGGACAAGCUCUUCCAGCUGUCUGUGCAGCCCAUGGUCAUUGCUGGCCAGACAGCCAACUUCUCCCAGUUUGCCUUCGAGUCCGUGGUGGCCGUCGCCAACAGUCUGCACAACAGCAAGGACCUGAGCAAGAACCAGCACGGGAGGAACUGCCUGCUGGCUUCCUACGUGCACUACAUCUUCCGCCUGCCGGAGCCACAAAGGGACAUGCCCAAGUCAGGUAGAGAUGCCCUGAGUGUGGGACUCUGGCGGGCAGGGCGUCGCCACCUCCACUCCACUGCAGUGGAAUCCAAAAUAAAACAUGCUAUGCUGGGUGCAGUGGCUCACAUCUGCAAUCCCAGCACUUGAGGAGGCUGAGAGAGGAGGAUCACUUGGAGCCAGAAGUUGGAGACCAGCCCAGGGAACAUAAAGAGACCCUGUCUCUACAAAAAUAAAAAUCAAAAUUAGCAGAGUAUAGUGGCACAUACCUGUAGUCACAGCUACUUGGGAGGUAAGAUAACUUAAGAUCAGGCAUUCGAAACCAGCAUGCUGAAACCUCGUCUCUACUAAACAUACAAAAAAAAAAAUUAGCCGGGUGUGGUGGCUCAUGCCUGUAAUCCCAGCUACUCAGGAGGCUGAGGCAGGAGAAUCACUUGAACCCAGGAGGCAGAGGUUGCAGUGAACUGAGAUGGUGCCACAGCACUCCAGCCUGGGUGACAGUGAGAGUCCGUCUAAAAAUUAAUAUAGAUAUGAAAGAUAAUAUUUUUGCUCUUAGGACAUACACCUUGUAGUAUUAUGAGGUAAACGGGUAUGAUAUUAGCAACCCAUUCUCAAUGGUUCAGGAAAAAAAAUGUUUUUAUAUUUAUAGACUGAUAGAAAAAAUAUAGUGAAAUGUCAAGUAUUGAUAAGCCUGGUUAAAGGGUAUAUGAUAGUUCUUUGUACUAUUCUUGCACCAAGUUUGAAAUUGUUUCAAAAUAAAAGCUAAAAUAAUAUAUUAAAUGAAAUAAAUCAAAUUUUUAAAAAGUAUCUACAAAAUCUUAGGAAGCAAUGUUUAUUAUUAAUAGCUUUGUCAUUACUGAGAAAAUUUGCAUAGUACCGAGUGCUCCGGAGGUUUUCAUUUGGUUAUUCCUCAGGGCAAACUGUUGGAACAGCAAUGGUAGGUGUGAGAAUAUUGGCAGAUGUGAGAAUAAGGCUCAGUGAUGUUGACACAUUUUCUGAAAGUCAAACAGCCAGUAGUAAAGCCAAGGCUGGAGAUUUUAAACCUGGAUAUUGAGUCAUGUCAGCUACCCAGGAGGAGUGGCCACAUGGAGGAUGCAGAGAGAGUUUGAGGGUGUCUCAGCAGCACUGUGACAACCUCUUUAUCAGAUCCCCAUCCAUCCCAGUGACUUGACCGGUCAGCAUGGCCUAAAUUUGCAAAUCGCAUUAUAACAAAGAGCAAAGUAGUUUCAUACCAUAUUUUUUAUGGUGUCAGAGGAAAUUAGUUCAUCAUUCUGAGAAUAAAGGACAUAAAUAUGAAAAACUGAAUCCCAGGUUGCUCUGCAGCACUGUAAAAUCCCCAUAAAUAUGAGCACUGAGAAAUAAUACAAAUUAAAAAUUUGUUUAGAUAGACCUAGCUUAUUAAUUGGGGUUCAUGGAGUAAUUCACCCUGUGAAAUAUGACUCUGACCUCUCUUAGGCUGGAAAUGCUGCCUAACUGGGGAAAAAAUUCUUAGGUUAAAAACUAUUUUAUCCUGAUUGGAUUUUCUGUAAUAAUUCUUAAAAAUUAAGAAACUAAAAAAAAAAAAAAGAAAGAAACUGUCUCAUUGAAGAGAAUAAAUAUUUUUCCAGUCAGUUUGCAAAAGAAAAAAAGCUAAUAGUUACCUAAAAAAUAGUUACCAGGAUAUCAAAAAUUUAGGAUGCAAUGUAGUAUAUAGAGAAUCAGCUUAAUUAUACAUACAUAAAUAUGCUUAUAGAAAAAGUGACUGGAAGGAAAUGCACCUAAAUAUUAACAAUACAUGAAUAAUUACUUGAUUCAACCUCACAGUCAUGGCUUUAGUUAAAAAAGACUUAAAUACUUUGCCCAGUGUUACCCAGAGGGACAGUGGCUGAAAUAGUAGGACCUGUGUCUCCCAACUUUCCCACCAGUGACCUGGGAGUUCAAAUCCAGAGUGUACCACAAAAUGAUUUGGGCAUUUGUUUAUUUUUGAGGAAAAUGAACAGGCAGAAAAGAUGAACAUCAGCCUGGCUUUCUUCUUGUAUGACCUUCUCUCCCUCAUGGAUCAGGGCUUUGUGUUUACCCUCAUCAGGCAUUAUUGCAACCAGCACAAUGCUGGAAGGGCAAGGGUCUUACAACAUACAAAGAGAAAGCAGAAGACAAAUCAACUGGUGUCUUUGACCGAGUAAUUAUGCAUGAAGAAGGUUGACCUAAGGAAACAAUCAUACAUGUGUUCAAAUAUACACAUAGAACAGUUUUUCCAUUUUUAUAUCCAUGGUUAAAUGAAACAACUGUACAUCCAAAAAAUUGGACAAUUAUUUAAUAAAAUCUUUCUUCUUAAUUUUAACUCUGUCUUUAAGAAUCUCAUCUAGCUCCAUACCUCUUAAGCUUAUUUAAAUGUUUGUAACUCCUAAACUUAUACUUGUAGCUCAGACCUUUCCCUCAGUCCAACUGCUAAUUUGACAUCCCCACAUGAAUGUACCACAGAUAUCUGAAACUUAAUACUGUCAUAUGCGAACUACUUAUAUUCUCUCCCAAGCCAGUCCCUCUAGCAUACUUCUCCAUCUCAGCUAACAGCAACUUUGUUCUUUCAAAGGCUCAGGCCAAAUAUCUUGAGUGCUUGGCAUCUCUCUUCUUCUUGCACACCCUAUCCAUUCCUUAACAAUCCUGUUAUUGAGACCUUCAACAUGUGUACGUAACAUGACCCCUUCUCACUUCCACUGCUAUCACUCAUCCAAGACAUUUCUCAGCUGAAUGAUUGCAAUCACCUCCGAAAAUGGUUUUCCAAAUUCUGCUAUGGCACUCGUCUGUAUUCUCAGUGCAUUAAAUGUUGAGUGGCCUUUUAAAGUUCAGAUUCGUCAUUUAUCUUCUCCAAAUCCUCCAAAAAGUUAUCAUCUUGUUUACAGUAAAAUUCAAAUGCUUUCUGAUGGUCUUUAAGGCCCAGUAUAAUCUGGUUAUUCAUUCCAUCUCUGACAUAUCUUGCUCUUCUCCUGCUCUGUUUAGUUGACUCCGGUCAUGCUGGUUUCCUUUUUGUUACCACAGUACUCCAGGCCUGUUCUUGCAUCAAAAUAUUUGCACUUGAUAUUUCCCUUGACUGGAGUCUGUUCUUCCCCCAGAUACCUGCUUAACUCACACCCUCACUUAUCCUCUAUUUCAAGACUUCACUCAAAUUCACCUUGUAAGGGCAGCCAUUCUGCGUCCCUGAAUAUCCUGUCUAAAUUUUGUAGCCCAGGUUGCUAUUUCCUAUACUCUGAAUGAUUCAGUUUCUCUCUUAUUGUUUAGCAUACCUAUAUACUGUGUUUUUGUGUCUUGUUCAUUGUCUUUCUCCUUCAUAACCUGUGUAUGCUAAAUUCAGGAAUGGUCAGAUUUAUUCUCUCCAUAUUCCUAGCAGUUAAAACAGUGUUAAAACAAUAAAUAAUUGUCAACAGAAGAAUGGAAUGAAAAGAGGAGGGAGAAAAAUCUACCCAUUAAAUUUACUAUUAUGAAGUCAUUCAUAAGAAUGAAGAUCUUUAUUAAUAACAUGAAAGUAUUUUUAAAAUAUAUGAUCAGGAGAAACCAGAGUUCAGAAUGGUGUGUAUAUUAUUAUUCUAAUUUUUUAAAUAAAUAAUUUUGUAUAACAUUGUGUAGAAAUAAAAUGGGGGCUAAGAAGGGCAUAUACUGGCUAAUAGUGAUUAUCUCUGGAGGUGGUAUGAAAUGGUACUUAGCAUCUUUGUUUCUUUGUUUUGCAUUUCUGUAUAAUUUGCAUUUUAAAAUAUGUAUUAAAAUUUUAACAGUGAAAGUGUAAUAUUUAGUGAUGGAGAUGUAUAUUUCUUUCACAUUAAAAGCUGUUCAUAAUAUACUUAUGCAGAAAAGAAGUUUAGAGAGUAGGAAUAAUGUGAGCAUCAAUUGUUCAAUUUGGAAAUUCAAAACAGUCAUAAAAUUAAAUGUACUUUUUAUAUUUGUUGCCAAACACAUUUGACCACAAAACCUAAGCUGAACUGACAUGAAUUUAUUUCUAAACCUUGGUUCCACAUAAUGUGAAUAUUCAUAGUUUUCAUAAAUUCUUCCCCAGAAUCUGCUGCUGGUGAUGUGCCAUAUAAUGAAUACAGUCAAAAUUAACUUUCUAAAAUGUAAACAAAUUCUGGAACAUAUCCAACCAUAGGGUGUUUUACACAAGGCAUUGUAAAUAUGGCUGUCUCCACACCAAAACUGUGAUCUUUGGUUUAUGUGAUUUUGACUACUUAUUUUUCUUUUUGCUAAGAUAUAUCUUGUAUUUUGCUUUCUGCAACCAAUGUCCUAUAUAUUAAAUAAAAUAGCAUAUAAAUUAAAUUAAAACUUUAUGUAAGAUCUCUAGGCAUGGCGGGUGGCGGGGGGGAGUUUUAAAACUGAGACAAGCCUUAACCAAGUGUGGCCUUGUAUAUUCCCACCUGAAAAAUAAACCAAGCCUCAGAUUUUGUCAACUCAGAGUCUCCAGGUGAGAGAAAGGAAACCUAUUAGACUGAAAUACAAAAUGCAUAAAUUUGGUGAAAUAGGAAUAUAGGGGAGACAAAUUCCAAGAAUACUCUAGGAAAGUUCUGCCCCGGAGACAAUUUCAAUACUGCAACAUUGGCAGAUGCACAAUCAUGGCUGGAUGGACAGCAUCUGGGCACGAGAUAAUGGCAUUUCCCCCACCCAGCAUCUCAGACUGUUUUCCACUAAAGACAGGAGGGAAUGAUGGUGAUAUUAAUAGAACAAGCAUGUUCUUUUCCUGUUCAGCUAUUUAAAGAAAUGUUCAGCUGCAAGGUGUGCUGAUUUAUACAACUUACCUUCUUCAACCCAGAUAGAGCUCUCUGCUUCUUUCUCCCAUUACAACCCCCACUUAAUGGAUCUGUAACUGACUUUCACUUUGUGAUAUAAAAUUUACAAGAAACAGGGUGUGUGUGUGGGGGGGGAGGCACGGUUAUUGUUUCCAGGUGCUGCUGAUCACACUUCUGUGGGGUAUGAACACUCUUAAUUGAGUUCUUAGCUUUAAAUGCAUCAUAAACAAAUUUAGAAGACAAUCAGGCAAUAUUAAAGGAGAGGUGGAAAAUUAUUGUCAUCAACUCUGUGACCUUAAACUGCAACACAAAUAAUUCUUCAUGGGGAUUAGAAAUGUACCCAGCUCUUCCUGAAUGGCUUAGAGAUGUGGCCCACUGAGCGAAACAGAAUCAGAUCACAGAAUAAAAUGCAGCUUGCGGUUUGAACUUCACAUUUUUGGGCAAUGGACUCAAAUUUGUUUCUUGACAUUCUUUUCAACCUUCAAUGACUAGUUUAGUAAUCGUUUCCUCCUUACAGUUUCCCAAAUCCCCACCUGUUAGAAUUAAUUUCCCCUUUUUCUCAAUUAUUGCUGCUCAGGGUUUCUACAUCUAGUAGAGUGUUUAUGAUAUUUUUUUCAGUUUUACCUUAUAGUGUUUGUGUUUAUUGUGAAGAUUCCCAAGUUUCAGUUAUCUGUGCACUUGUUUUAGAUAUCUUGCCCAAUCUGUGUGCUGUCCAUAGGUUAUUGACCUGAUAGUCUCUUUACACUUACUAAUUUUUAAAAACAUUUUUUCUUUAAGCCUCAUUCUUAGUCUCAUCUGUUAAAUUUAAAAUUGGAUGUAAUCAUCUAUAGGCAUAUAUUUGCAUCAUAAGUAUAUAUAUGUAUAUAUGAAUGUUUAUCACAAGUAUAUCACUCAAAAUUUUGAAAUAUUAUUUACAUUUAUAUUUAAAAUACAUCAACUCCAAUCACUUGGAAUACUGCCAGUAGUUAAUUUGCUACACAUUAAAUUCAUACUAUUCUUUGCAAAACACUGUCUCAUUUUAUAUUGAUAGAUCCUUGUGUAUAGGAAUCAUUUUUAUUACAAAAUUCAAUUUGCUCAAGAACAUUUGCUGAACAAUUUGUAGUGCAGAUAGUAUGCUAGUGCAACAAAAAGUAAUCAGGAUAAAUUAUAUAUAUAUACACAUAUGUGUGUGUGUGUGUGUAUAUAUAUAUAUGUAUGUUUUUUCUUUUUUUGAGACGGGGUCGCUCUAUCUCCCAGGCUGUAAUGCAGUAACAUGAUCUCGGCUUACUGUAACCUCUGCCUCCCAAGUUCAAGCGAUUCUCCUGCCUCAGCCUCCCAAGUAGCUGGGACUACAGGUGCCUAUUGCCAGGCCCGGCUAAGUUUUUGUAUUUUUAGUAGAAACAGCGUUUCACAGUGUUAGCUAGGAUGGUCUUAAUCUCCUGACCUCGUGAUCCACCUGCCUCAGGCUCCCAAAGUGCUGGGAUUACAGAUGUGAGCCACCACACCCAGCCAGUUAUAUUUUUUAAUAUAACAAUAUGUUGAUAUAGUUUCAAAAUACGAAAAGAUUAAAACUUUAAUACACAUCUUACAUGAUGUACAAAACAUCAAAAUUUUCAGUGAAGAUAGUUUUAUUUAUUUAUAAACAGAAAUGAAGACUACAGAUUUGGUUAGGAAAUGUAGGAAGCAACCUACUAAGUGCCUUGUCUGUUUUUCUCUAAAGUCUGUGCUUCUUGAACUUUACAGUGUGAUCACAAGAACCUUAUUCUCAUGUCUUGACAUUUUCCUGAAGGAACUUUUGUUUUCUGAAGAACUUCAGGUUCCUUCUCCCAACUGGCUUCUCUGCACAGGAGGGGUCACAGUGGAGUAAUGGGUUGGAGAAAGGGUCUCCAGAAAGGAAGAGCUCCUUGGAAGAUCAUGCCUGCAGGUCACCUGUGAGUUAACUACCAUGUCUCCAGCUCCUCUACUUAUACCUGGGUGGUUGAUGGUGGAGUGUGGGAAUAUAUGCUUUAGUAGGAAGCCUGCUAAUAGCCCCAGACCCAAAACACAUUCUCCAAUACUGCUUUAACAAGGAACUUCUAUUUUGUGUCCUAUCUGGCUUCUGGGACCAUUUCUCUGUUAUUUCUGAACCUAUGGGAAAGAAAGAUGUGUGCUUUACUAACCUCCUUAAUCAACAACACAAUAGUGCCUUCCUGUGUCAAAGGGCUUUGAAAACUCCAAAGAAUUAGGAUACACAUAUUUAUUCUUGUGUUUUAUUAGGUAUUUGUAAUACAAAUUCACCAGUAUCAUUGCUAAUUAUUUUGGAUAAAAUAUAUACAUUUAUGUAAAUCAGUUCCUUAGUUCCUGGAAACAAAAUACACUCAAGAUAUAUUAUUUGUUUUCCUUUUCCAUGCCUCCCUCCCCUCUCCACCCACCCAGCCACCUCUCUCUUAAUUAUCUGCCAUAAAAUACCUUGGUAUUUUCCAUCCUUGGCCCAAAGAUGCUGAGUCCAUUUCUCUCCAUUUUUCCCCUGGCCCUCAAGGAAAGCGUUAUGUUUAGCAUCAUAAUGUAAUUAAGGUCAUUCUGCCUUCAGUCAUCAAUGUGCAAAUCCUGUAUGACUAAUGAGACAGUCUCAACAGAGGCUCCUAAACUGUAUCCUCUCACUUGGCUACAUAGCCCUAGUUUCCUCAGUCCCUUUUUUGACAGGGGUGAAAAUGUCCUCCCCUUCAGGCUUCUGGAUGAAUCUCAAAAUAAAUGGAACCAGUGUUCCUGUCCUGGGGAUUUUCAGAAAAGGAGUUCUAAGAAAAAUUGACCCCAUCCCCACUAUCUGUUUCCUCACCCACAAUGUCUCCUUCUGGAAGCUGGACCAGAAUAUAAGGAUGGGGAUUCAGGUAGCUGAGCAGACACAGUGGCUCAGAGGAUAUGAGGAUGUACAGGCUUGAUAAAGAGCAGAGGUGUGAGCAGGGAGGAUCCACUCCAGAGUGACUGGGUGGAGAUGCAUCCUCCAGAAUCAGGAGACUAGAGCAGGGCUGCAGUUCAGCUGUUGUUUUGGUUUUAAUUCUCUCCAUCUCAAAGCAUAGGCCUGAUCUUCUUUUCUUUCCAUAGGGUAUUUUGAGCCUUUUCCCCACUUCUUAUAAACUGAAGAUUAUAAUAAUGACUAUUUGAUACAGCUUUUGUAAGAAUUAAGUAAGACCAGAUUUUGGAUGGUUUACAGCAUAGCAUAAUGUAACGUUCAGUGUAAAUAAAAUAAAUAUUAAUUCUUUUCAAUAUGUUAAAAUCAUAAACCUGGCCCUUUUGUGACUCACCUUGGGCAUCAAUUUUCAUACCAUUUCUUACCCUUAAGCCCAACUGUUGGUCUAAUCAUAAUGACAAUAUAAUCUUGUCAUUUUUCCCCAUACUACUAGAAAAAACAAACGUAAACAAAUGAACAAACAAACUUAAUACUGUCUUUGAUAUCUUUUUUAAUUGUACUUUAGGUUCUGGGGUACAUAUGCAGAUCAUACAGGAUUGUUGCAUGGCACUCUUUAUAAUCCCAUGACAGUGAUUUUUUCAACAUGCAUAUCUGACCAUAGCUCUCCCCUGCUUAUAAUCUUUGAUGCUUUUCAAUUGCUACUAGAAUAAAAAGCAAAAUCUUCAACAUGCCCUGGAAUGCCCUACAUGAUCCAGCGCCUCACCUCAUGCCACCUUUCUCUUCUCUAGCCUCUAGCUGUGCCAAUCUUUAUUUCUUAAAAAUGUCAUUCUCCUUCCUGCCUUUGGGCUUUUGCACAUGCUGUUCCUUCAGCUUCUUUGCCUAAUUAAUGUCUACCUCUCUUUCAAAUCUGUUUAAACAUUAUUUGCUCCAGGAAAACUUUUUCAAUGCCAUCCCUCUGCCCCAUCCCAGAUAAUAAUGAGUUUCUUUUUUAUAUGACUUUUUCAUUACAUGUUUUUCCUUUGCAGCACUUAGCUAGAAUUUAAUUAACUGAGAAUCUAAUUAGACAUUAUAUAUUGGUGUAAUUAUUUUGACUACUGUCAGUCCCUCUCCAUGAGGUUGUGGACUUUGUCUAUGGAACAUGCUCUUAUUUCCAGAGGACCUGCGAGUGCCUGGAAGGUAUUGAAUAAAUAUAUUUUUGAAAAAGGCAUUGUGCUACAGCUCUAUAUUCUGAAAAGUGAGACAAAAAUUGGUUAAAUCAUAUGCUCAAGGUUAUCCAGCCAUCAAAUGAUGGGAUAUAAAAUUGGUAGUGGUUUCUAAAAAUGUUUAAAAGGAAGGGAACUGAAAAUGGAAAUCUAAUUAGGUAAGAUAUGGCAAAGAGUCAGCAGGAGUAUUCCGUGCCUUUCGUUCUUCCCUCUGAAGAUAUUGGAGUCACUUCCAACUCCUCUCCCAAUAAGAACAGAUUGGGCCUCAGUGUCCUUGUCAAUACAACCUUUCAGCUGACUACUUGAAACAUACUUGCCAAACCUGAACUAGAAGAUUUUGUAAUGGUGAAAUACAAUGAACAUUAUUCUAUCUCUGUGGUGGUGAGACAGACGAGUAAUUUGGUUUUGUUCAGGUGUGUUUUAUAUUCCUUUGGUUUUCAUCAAAGCCUCUUUAAAUUCCUUCCAUAUUAUCCAGUGAAUUCACAGAUAUAGAACCAAAGUUGUAUACAUAAUUGUAUAAAUGAUUUUCAACAAUGAAUGAAUGAUGGAAUGAAUGUGGUUGAGUCAUGAGGAAAUAACAGCAGGAUGACUUAAUUUUGGAUGCAGUCCAAAUGUAGGGUAAUAUAAGAUCUCUGACUCCUGCCUGAUUCCAAAGUCAAUGAAAGUUUCUGACCUACUGACAGUCUGACCAUACUUGGAAGGCCCUAUGAAAUUGAAUAGGGAAGAGAACAUCUCAGCUUCCCCCUGCUUGUCUGGAUCUCUCUUCCAAGAUUCUGCUCCAGGUCAGAUUCUCUUGAGUGUUUUCAAUGUCCUGGUGUAACACUGAACAUGAGAGCAAUUAAGUGUGAUCUAUGUUACCCGGCCUUCCUGGACUGCCCAGGCCACUCUGGGAUCUCCCUUUUGUUGGAUUUUAUUUCUAUUUUAUUAGAAUUUUCCUCCUCCCAUCAAACAGAAACACUUCUGAUCCACGACUGAGCUCCCACAAUCUUUUUGACAACCUUAUCCACUACUCAGGUUUAAUCUGCCUCAGGUAGAUCAAAAAGAAUUGAUAUGAAUUUUUUGAUUGGGUGCAUCUUUUUUCUCUCCAUCUCUUUACCUUUCAGCAGCUGAAGGGGAUCCAUCAUGAUAAUUUCCCGUUAUUAAGUUUGAAGUGUUUUGAAUGUGAAAUGCCUUUUCACUUAGAAAGAAUUGAUGCCUAUAACUAGUAAUGUGUUAGCAGUUUGGUAGAGUGCUUGACAGCCCAAACUGCAUUACAGGUAGCUAAUCCCCAUGGCUGAGCUCCAUUAAAGAAUAGAUCGUAUCUGUUAAUACAGCCAUAGAGUGUGGGUCAUUGUGCUGAAAGGCAGUGUAGCUGCUGGGAGAAAGAUUAUAAUGUGACUUUAUUCUAUUUUAAACUUGCAGAAUGUAUGGUAGAUAUACUAGUCAUGAUUGAUUAAAGAUAUGAGAGAGGAUUUUAUGACUCUCCUGGUAUUUGCCAGGUUUAUAAUUCCCACCGGGAAGAAAAAUGUCCCCAGUGGCUUAAACAAGACCAAUAGCAAAUUUCAAGCUGUGGACAGCUACCUAGCUCCUGUACAUUCUUCACAGUAACUCCCAGGUAUUUCAUAGAGUUCUUUGGAAGAGAUGAGAGUCUGGUGCCCUGAUUCUUAAUGCUUAUUAAAGGUGACCCCUUAAGAAGAAAGAACUGGUUCAAUACUGUGUCCCCAGUCAAAUGUGGUUUUUUUCUUUCAUUUUUUUUAGACUAGUAAAGGCAAGUACACAGCAAUUUAUGUGCAAUUUCUAAACAAUUGGUAGCAAGACGCUUGAAGUUCUUUAUUGAGUACCAGGAACUGUAAUAAUGCAUAUGUGCCAUGACCCAUUAACAGUGCCCACUAUAGGCACAGGUGGGAAAGCAGAGACCAAUGUAUCACAUAUUUGUCAUAUCACAUAUUUGUCAUUCCAGGUAUAAACAAACUCAGGCAUAUUUUGGUAACUGCAGUCUUUGGAGUAAUUUAAACAUAGUUAAGCUUAUAACUCUUCAUAAUUCAUAUAAUCUAUAGCAAGUCAAAUUAGAAUAUCUGAAGCCUGGAUUAUGAAAUAGCAGCCAUUAUAUUAUAUUAAAUGUAGAUUUUUAGUACACAAGUGAUUAUUAAUGGAACUCCAUGAAAAUAGCACAUUUCACAGUCAAGACUUCAUUUAGCCGAAAUUUGUGUGUUAACUCUGAAAUUCCAUUAGAGAAAAAAAGUGCUGAUGAGAUUCCUACCCUUAAAUAAUAUUCACGUCAUGGUGGGACAUUAAGUGCUCACUUAUAGAAUAGUUGAAUAACCAAAGAGGGCUCUAGUACCAGCAUGUGAACAAUCCGUGGUUUCAUAAGUAAAACCCAAUGCCGACUCAGGGUUCUUCAGGUGGAAGGCAAGGCAAGCCUCUCAAGCUCUAUAAGGCACUUUUUGCCAACCACAUGUUGUGCCUUACAGUUUAUCUAGCGACCUUCUCAUUUAUAGGGAAACUGAGGUCAAUGGAGAUAGUUAUCAAAGGUGCUCAGUGUUGACAGCAGCUUAGAUUUCUUCAUUCCUAGUCUAGUGCUUGCAUUGGAAAACUCUGCCUAAUAUUUUUUAUUUAAUAGUUUUAUUAAACAAAAUGUUUCCAACUUUAGGCUGGUUGACUAAUAAUGGUUGUUCAUUUACUUAAUAAUAUCACUUACUCAGUAAGUUACUAUUUCAGAUAGCAUUGUAUAGUAGACAAGAGCUAAGGAUUGGGAUUAAUACAAAUUUGUUCUUCUAUUGAUUAGCCAAGUAACUUAGACUAAUUCUGUGUGCCUCUAUUAUCUCACCUGUAAAAGAGAAAAGCAUGCCUAAUAAAUAGUGAAGAUAAAAUGAGAUAAUGUAUAUGAGGCCAAUGUACUGGACAGAAACUAAAUGUCUUAGUAUCUCCUUGUCUCAACGUUGCAUCAAUCACAGAAGAUAUGUAAAAACCUCAUUGGUUCAUCUUUCCUCUCUUAAAUGGAGUUUAAACUGCUGAAAUUAUUGAAACAGCAAUUAAAAUAGAGGUUAGUAAGUGAUUUCAAUGUCUUUUUGGGACCAUUAAGUCUAAAAGGUAAGCUAAUACUAAAAGUCAUUUAUUUUCCAUUCAUUAUUAAUUAGCAACUAUGGAGUGAGUAGAUUUUAAAUAAAAUUAUGUUAGCUACAAGUUUUCUCAGAAAACCUUGCCUGUUAGCAGUAGCUCAUGAUAAUUGGGAUCUUGAUCUUAAACCCAAACAUGACCAGAAUACCUAUUUCUAAACACACUUUAAGCCUUACAGUGAUAACCAGCUUUUUAAAAUAUUUAUCCAUUACAUUCAGUUCUUUAAUGUGACAUAAAAACUCAAUGGCUUCUCAUCUUCUGGCUAAAAUCUUUCUAGUAGAAAUAUUUGACUGGGCACAUUGGCUCAUGCCUAUUAGGAUGCCAAGGAGGGGGGCUCACUUAAGCCCAGGAGUUUGAGACCAGCCUGGGUGACAUGGCCAAACAUUGUUUCUACAAAAAAAAAGUAAAAAAAUUAGCCAGGUUUGGUGGCACACAUCUGUAGUCACGGCUGCUUCAGGGACUGAGGUGGGAGAAUUGCUAGAGCCUGAGAAGGUUUGGGCUGCAGUGAGCUGUGAUUGCACCACUGCACUCCAGCCUGGGUGACAGAGUGAGACCCUGACUCAAGAAAAUUUUGAAAAAGAAAAAGGAAGAGAAGAG